rnacentral:rRNA from 1 species
AGAACGAACGCUGGCGGCAUGCCUAAUACAUGCAAGUCGAACGAACUCUUCGGAGUUAGUGGCGCACGGGUGCGUAACGCGUGGGAAUCUGCCCUUGGGUUCGGAAUAACAGUUGGAAACGACUGCUAAUACCGGAUGAUGACGAAAGUCCAAAGAUUUAUCGCCCAGGGAUGAGCCCGCGUAGGAUUAGCUAGUUGGUGAGGUAAAGGCUCACCAAGGCGACGAUCCUUAGCUGGUCUGAGAGGAUGAUCAGCCACACUGGGACUGAGACACGGCCCAGACUCCGUACGGGAGCAGCAGGUA